UAAAAGCCUUUGAAAGGGAGAGUAGAAUAUAUUCCUUUGUUUUAGCGAGCUGGGAUGGUGGGAGCCAGUAUAAAGCUAUAUUCGAAGAGGACCCUUGAGGAUAUAUCUGAAACAGAGUAGGAUAUUACGUUAGUUGCGUUAAAAACUUCGAGUGGGCCAUGGCCAACAAGAGUGGUAACACGGGAUAGCUCUCGUCUCUUAU
rnacentral:ncRNA from 2 species